UUGAUCCUGGCUCAGGACGAACGCUGGCGGCGUGCCUAAUACAUGCAAGUCGAGCGGACAGAAGGGAGCUUGCUCCCGGAUGUUAGCGGCGGACGGGUGAGUAACACGUGGGUAACCUGCCUGUAAGACUGGGAUAACUCCGGGAAACCGGAGCUAAUACCGGAUAGUUCCUUGAACCGCAUGGUUCAAGGAUGAAAGACGGUUUCGGCUGUCACUUACAGAUGGACCCGCGGCGCAUUAGCUAGUUGGUGAGGUAACGGCUCACCAAGGCGACGAUGCGUAGCCGACCUGAGAGGGUGAUCGGCCACACUGGGACUGAGACACGGCCCAGACUCCUACGGGAGGCAGCAGUAGGGAAUCUUCCGCAAUGGACGAAAGUCUGACGGAGCAACGCCGCGUGAGUGAUGAAGGUUUUCGGAUCGUAAAGCUCUGUUGUUAGGGAAGAACAAGUGCAAGAGUAACUGCUUGCACCUUGACGGUACCUACCAAA
rnacentral:rRNA from 1 species